AGAAUGGGGCUGUAGUACUUCUAAUGGAGAUGAGGUCAGCGGAAUGGGGCAGUAGUACUUCUAAUGGAGAUGAGGUCAGCAGAAUGGGGCUGUAGUACUUCUAAUGGAGAUGAGGUCAGCGGAAUGGGGCUGUAGUACUUUAAUGGAGAUGAGGUCAGCAGAAUGGGGCUGUAGUCCUUCUAAUGGAGAGGAGGUCAGCAGAAUGGGGCUGUAGUACUUCUAAUGGAGAUGAGGUCAGCAGAAUGGGGCUGUAGUCCUAAUGGAGAGGAGGUCAGCAGAAUGGGGCUGUAGUCCUUCUAAUGGAGAGGAGGUCAGCAGAAUGGGGCUGUAGUCCUAAUGGAGAGGAGGUCAGCAGAAUGGGGCUGUAGUACUUCUAAUGGAGAGGAGGUCAGCAGAAUGGGGCUGUAGUACUUCUAAUGGAGAGGAGGUCAGCAGAAUGGGGCUGUAGUACUUCUAAUGGAGAUGAGGUCAGCAGAAUGGGGCUGUAGUCCUUCUAAUGGAGAGGAGGUCAGCAGAAUGGGGCUGUAGUACUUCUAAUGGAGAGGAGGUCAGCAGAAUGGGGCUAUAGUACUUCUAAUGGAGAGGAGGUCAGCAGAAUGGGGCUGUAGUCCUAAUGGAGAGGAGGUCAGCAGAAUGGGGCUGUAGUACUUCUAAUGGAGAUUCUCUAUCUAAACUGUUCUGUGUUUAGCUGGAGCUUGUGCUUGUCACAGGCAUACAUGAUAUAGAGGACUGGACCUCCCUCCAUAAACAGAGUAUUUUGUUUCAGUGUGAGACA